AGAGUUUGAUCCUGGCUCAGAACGAACGCUGGCGGCGUGCCUCAUACAUGCAAGUCGUACGAGAAAAUCCUGGGCAACUGGGAUGAGUAAAGUGGCGAACGGGUGCGUAACACGUGGGUAAUCUGCCUUCAAGUUGGGGAUAAGCCCUCGAAAGGGGGUCUAAUACCGAAUGACCUUUCGGAAAGGCCUCUUUCUGAAAGCAAAGAUGGUUUAUUCACUUAAGCUAUUGCUUGAAGAUGAGCCCGCGCUCUAUUAGCUUGUUGGUGAGAUAAAAGCCCACCAAGGCAACGAUGGAUAGCCGACCUGAGAGGGUGUCCGGCCACACUGGGACUGAGAUACGGCCCAGACUCCUACGGGAGGCAGCAGUAGGGAAUAUUGCGCAAUGGCCAAAUGGCUGACGCAGCAACGCCGCGUGGGUGAUGAAGUUCUUCGGAACGUAAAACCCUGUCAGGAGGGAAGAAACUCCCUUAAGUGAAAACUUAAGGGACUGACGGUACCUCCAGAGGAAGCUCCGGCCAACUCCGUGCCAGCAGCCGCGGUAAUACGGGGGGAGCAAGCGUUGUUCGGAAUCACUGGGUGUAAAGGGUGUGUAGGUGGGCUUUUAAGUCAGGCGUGAAAACUCCGAGCUUAACUCGGAGCCGACGUUUGAAACUGAAAGUCUUGAGUACGGGAGAGGAAAGUGGAAUUCCUGGUGUAGCGGUGAAAUGCGUAGAUAUCACGAGGAACACCGGUGGCGAAAGCGGCUUUCUAUCCCGAUACUGACACUGAAACACGAAGCUAGGGGAGCAAACAGGAUUAGAUACCCUGGUAGUCCUAGCGGUAAACGUUGGGCACAAGGUGUCGGAAGCUUGAAACUUUCGGUGCCGCAGUUAACACAUUAAGUGCCCCACCUGGGGAGUACGACCGCAAGGUUGAAACUCAAAGGAAUUGACGGGGGCCCGCACAAGCGGUGGAGUAUGUGGUUUAAUUCGACGCAACGCGAAGAACCUUACCUGGGUUUGACAUCCUGGGGCAAGCUCAAGAAACUGAGCCCUCCCGAAAGGGACUCCAGGACAGGUGCUGCGUGGCUGUCGUCAGCUCGUGCCGUGAGGUGUUGGGUUAAGUCCCGCAACGAGCGCAACCCUCGUCCUUAGUUGCUACCUCUGAGCAAUCGGAGGGCACUCUAAGGAGACUGCCAGUUAUAAGCUGGAGGAAGGUGGGGAUGAUGUCAAGUCAUCAUGGCCCUUACGUCCAGGGCUACACACGUACUACAAUGGCUGGUACAGAAGGAGGCAAGACCGCAAGGUGGAGCAAAUCCCCUAAAGCCAGCCUCAGUUCAGAUUGGAGUCUGCAACUCGACUCCAUGAAGGUGGAAUCGCUAGUAAUCGCGAAUCAGCAGGUCGCGGUGAAUACGUUCCCGGGCCUUGUACACACCGCCCGUCAAGCCAUGGGAGCUGGAAGUACCCGAAGCCACUUUUCUAACCCGCAAGGGGAGAGGGUGUCUAAGGUAAAACCAGUGACUGGGGCUAAGUCGUAACAAGGUAAC
rnacentral:rRNA from 1 species